AUCAUUUCCUCCCGGCGCGGAUCCAGGGAGCCGGGAGGGAGAGGGAAGGCGGCGGGGCGGGGCCGUCCCCGCGCCCCCUGCAGGCGCCCGGCCGGGGGCGAGUCCGCCGAGCCCCGCCGAGCCUGGCCGUGCCGCCCCCGGCGCGCCCGGCGCGGUCUGGCGGGCCCGGAGGAGGCUGCGAGUGCGCCGCCCGCGGGGCUGCUCAGAGGCGGGGCGGCGGCGGGGCAGGCCCGAGCCGGGCUCCCGCGGCCGGGGUGGGAGGAGGAGAGGCCGCGCGGCGCGGGUGAGUGCCCAGGUUCAUUCAUGCAGCAGGCAUUUAUUACGUGACUGCAGUACUGCAAAAGGUUGCAAAGGAAAUGGAAGAUCUGGUCCCUGCAGGAAUUACUCUUCUGGAAAGGUCAUACGAGCUUACAUGCAUGAUGUGGCUUCCAACGAAUAUUUUUCAGUCCUCACGCAGUGCUUAUGAGUUCACUAAAUAUUUCAAGGGCGAGGCAGCUGAUCUGGUUUCAAACGGCAGGGCUGCCAGUGACUAGCUGUGAGACGUCCAGCAAGUCACCUAACUUCUCUGAGCCUGAGGUCCAUCAUCUAUAGAACAGAGCAUCUGUAAGGUAUGGAGUUCAGGGAUCCUCAUUUUGAAGAAAAACGAUGGGGACCCUUAAGUGCACCGAAGUUUGAGAGCCACUUCUUGAAGAAAUGGGGACAACGAUCAUUCUAAUUGUGAUGCUGAUGCUGCUCUGAGGAUCACACUUUGAAGACCAGAGGUCUACAAUAUCUACAAAAUAGGACUACAUAGAACUAAAAGUUGGAUUAUACUAUAGAAAUCACUGUGUUCAAGAAUUCUAUUUUAAAGCAUACUUGAAAGAUUGUCAUCCAGUCUGACUGAUGGGAGCCACCUUCUAACCACAAGAAGAGUCAGUCUGAAGAAAACAGAGGCUGGAAGAGUUCAAAGAAGAGCAGAAAAAUAGAUCUCCAGCUCCAAUGCCACUCCUAUGAACCACGAAUUCUUUAAGAUUUCUGAGGCUGUCAAAUGGCACUUGGAUUUCCUUCAAUCCCAUGGAAUGUAAUUCCCAAGGUCCAGAGACUCGAAUUCAUAAAAACCAAACAGAUGAACUCCUACCAGAUCUUGUCUCUUGAGAAAAUUAAAACAAACCAUAGCAAUUGGCACUCCAAGUUGUCAACUGUCUAUGAGAGAUUCAGAGAUCCAUGGUCGGUAACAAUUUGCUACUUUGCUGGCCAUCUGGCUCUGGCCCACUCUCAUAAUGGUAAGUGGCAUUAGUUUGCCCAGCUGGUGACCGCCUAAUCAUCUGCCCAACAUCCUCAUCUCAAAUGUGUGUUCUGUAUGUACUCUUUAUCUCCUCAUGGUGAUUACACCAGUUCCGUGUUUAUGAAAAAGAUGCUGAAAAAAAAGUGAUUUCUUGUUGUUAUGAUGGGAGUAAAAGAGGUCUAAAGAAAAGAUGGCGUUCUUGAGUUUAAAAGUUUAUAGAGGCCUUGAGUCAAAUGUCUCAUGAAUGCCAGUGAACUCAUGCAAUUUGGUGGCAUGAUGGUUUAUUGAAAUAUUGAUUUGUAUUGUGCUCUCUCUAUUUUUCUUCUCCCUUCAUUUGAAGAAGAUAGUGGGCCAUUGGUUGGCUGAAUCUGAAGCUGUUUCAGUAUAACUUAGUUUCCUAUCUUCUGGGAAAAGCUGAGCAUGUUGAGAAGGUUACACUAGGAGUUUGAGAGAAAGAUCAGAGAGGAAAGAGAAAGAGAUUUUCCCCAGACAGAGAAGGGUUAGGAUUUGAUGUGUCUGUAAUGCCCUUUACCAGGAGAAGUAACAAGACCACAAGAGGGAAAGAGAGCACCUGGAUUCUGUGGACCUUGUGCAGUGAACAGAGAGAACAACAGAACAAAAUCACGUGGCCUGAAUAUUGGAUAUUUUGGUAGAGAUUGCUAAAUUUCAUCAAUAUCGAUUUCACCUGUCCUUCCUGGGUAUACAGGUCAAUUCUACUUCUCUGCCAGUCCCCUUGCAUUUGAGCAGAGCCAAGUGCCUGAGUCUGGCUGAAGUAAUGGGCACCACUUUUAGGCCUGGCCUUUAAAGAUGUCCUCAUGGCUCUCCAUUAUCACCUUAAAUCACGUUCUGGUCUGAGUGGCAGGAAGCAAAGGAUUGCAAAGCCGGGAGGGUGAUUGGAAGAUCCCAUUAUGGAAGGAUCCCUGAGCUACCACUUGACACAAGCUGUCCAGCAUGGCUUCCUGACUGGGACUAUCCACGUUGGACUUCAUGUGAGGAAGAGACGAACUUCUUAAGACCCUGUGAUCUGGAGUUUUUUACCCAAUAACUAGCUUUAAUUACCCUAAUUCAGGUGUCCAGCCCCUCUUUCCAAUGCAACACACGCCUCCCAGAUGUUUACCCUGGAAUAUAGAGUGGGAGACCCAAGUAAUAGCUGAGAUAGAGCUGUUCGCUGGCUCAGUGGGAUCCUGAGAGCUACAUUUCGUUUGCUUUAAAGAUAAUACAUUACUUUGAAAUAAAACUUGACGUUUUA